GUUUGCGCGCCGUCUCGACCCUUUUCUUCUGAAAGUCACUGGGAGCGACUAAGAGCAGCAGUCGUGGUAUUGCAUCCUGCUCAAAUGCGCUCGCAGAAGGAGUACAUCGGCGGCGUGCCCGUCGUCGUCUCCCUCGCAGAUGGCGAUAUCCUUCACCCCACCGACCGCCCUGCACCUGCAGCGUUUGUGCUGCCGCGCACCACGAUGCUUCUCGCUAUUGUGCGGGACCUCCUUCAGCUGUUUCGCCCGUACGCGGCGGCACUGCACCCAGAGACGACGCAGGUGUGGUUUAGCGUCCGCGACACCCCGCUGUCGUGGCUGUAUCCGGCAGGUGCCGUCAAGGACUACGUGAACGAGUGUGUCCGCGAAGAGCGGGCGGCACACCUCUCGGCGUCAUCGACGUCAUCCCCGUCCUCAUCAGCAGCAGCAGCGCUUCUGCAGUCUCAUCUGUGCUCCAUCUUGAGUGAGCCGCUCGAGCUCAGCUUCCACAUCCACUCUCUCACGAAGGGGAGCUCGCUGGCCCGCACCGUGCCCCUCUACAUUAACUACGACAGACUGGAGGAGCACAUCCGGAUGGAGGUGAAGCAGGCGCACAAGGCUGCCUACACUGUGCUCUACGGCAACUACACCAUCUAUCAGCGCGAAGCUGAGUCGGCGCUGCAGGCGGCCGUUGGUUUAGCACUCUACCGGCCCUUUGACGCUGCGGCACAGGAGCAGCUCCAGCAGCAGCGCUACCGCGACCCCGGUUUGAGCGGCAGCGGCGGCGCCGGUGUAGGCAAUGGCGGCUACUCGUCAAGCAGCAGCCCCGGUGGUGGGUAUUCGGCGCCCUUUGCAUUUACAUCUCCAUACCUCCUGGCCGAAUACCAGCAGCUGCUCCGCGGUCUGCUGACGCCUCGGCCGCACGUGGCGUACCUCAUCCGCAUCGGAUUCCCCUUCGCCUAUCGAGGCGCGGCAGGCCGGAGCGAAAGCGGGUACUUACAGUACGAUGCUCACCGUGUCUCAGCAGCUCCGGCGCUAGCACUCUCCGUAACGGCGACGGAGGCGGCAGCUGCUCCGACGAUUGAGCCGGAGCAGCUGCCUCUGGGUCUGCUGCUGUGGCGACUGUUCCGUGCACCUGUUCUGCGGUGGAAGGCCCAGCAACCGCAGGAGCAUCCUAGGGACAGCACAUCGCCAUCUACCUCUGCGCACGCUUCAGCAGUGGUGCUCAGUGAAGUGGAGCGCACUUAUCAGCAGCUACUGCGCACCCUUGCCCCCUAUUAUGCUGACCCUCCGCGUUGCGCGACGGAUGAGCUGGAGAAGCAGGAGCCGCUCUUGACCAGCACCCCGCCGGAGCCGCCGGCGUGGGCGGCGUGGGAGCACGCGAUGGUGCAAGCCUUCAUGCGCGACUACGAGGAGCGCCCCGAGAAAUGCGGUCUAGGACUUGAGUUUGCGGAGGCUGCCGCGCCGUCUGCCACCUCGCCCAAUGCUGGCCGCCGCGUGCGCUUUAUGGUGCAGGGCAUCCAGCCCCCGCUUUCGACUCCCGGUAGCUUCCUGGAGGCGCAUCUCUCCUCUAGCGACCGCGCCAUUUUUGUCACGGUUCAGGUAUGAUGUCAGCGAGGAUUUUGCAGAGAGGAGAGGUGGAGGUGGGAGAAGGAGGAGGACUAAGCGGGGGCAUCGUGGGAAGGUGCGCGGUUGGACUGCUGCGCACUGCUUUCUCCUUUUGUGUCUCUUCACGUUCAUGCUUGCGCGUCUCUCUUUUUCUGCUGCUGCCGCGUGCGCUUGAGGUGGGAGCGCUUGUGCCCACGAUAGUAUCGCGCCCCCUCCGCAACUCUGUGCACGUGCGUGGUCGCGCGCCUCCGUGGCUGUGCUUGGGCUGUCUCGGUGUCUGUGUGUGCUUGUGUGCCGGCAAUACUUCCAGUGUGUCUUUCCCUCCCUCUCUCAGCCGUCUGAAUCUCCGUUUGUCUGCCUUGCUGGUGCCGCGGACGGCUUCCCCCCUUUUCCUCACGCAGAUCCACACAUCGGGGAGGGGAGGAGUGGGGAGGUGUGUGUGUGUGUGCGUGUGUUGCAGGUGCAGGGGAGCCGGGCUCUGUGUCUUGACCCUUUUCUUUCUGCUAUUUCCCUCUCAUUCACUUGUCCCUCUCAUUCUCUCUUCGUUGCCCGGCGCCUACCCACCCCCAUCAAGCAUCAAGCAAACACACGCACACGUACACAUACAUGCGCGCAUACAAGUACGUGGGAGUGGGGAGACGCUAUGAAAUCACG
rnacentral:misc_RNA from 1 species